GACGAACGCUGGCGGCGUGCUUAACACAUGCAAGUCGAACGGAAAGGCUCCAGCUUGCUGGAGUACUCGAGUGGCGAACGGGUGAGUAACACGUGGGUAAUCUGCCCUGCACUCUGGGAUAAGCCUGGGAAACUGGGUCUAAUACUGGAUAUGACCUUUCUCCUUAUGGGGUUUGGUGGAAAGUUUUUCGGUGUAGGAUGAGCCCGCGGCCUAUCAGCUUGUUGGUGGGGUGAUGGCCUACCAAGGCGACGACGGGUAGCCGGCCUGAGAGGGUGAUCGGCCACAUUGGGACUGAGAUCCGGCCCAGCCUCCUACGGGAGGCAGCAGUGGGGAAUAUUGCACAAUGGGCGGAAGCCUGAUGCAGCGACGCCGCGUGAGGGAUGACGGCCUUCGGGUUGUAAACCUCUUUCAGCAGGGACGAAGCGUAAGUGACGGUACCUGCAGAAGAAGCCCCGGCUAACUAUGUG
rnacentral:rRNA from 1 species